rnacentral:tRNA from 1 species
GCCCUCGUAGCUCAGAUGGACAGAGCAGAAGUUUCCUAAACUUUUGGCCGGAGGUUCGACUCCUCUCGAGGGUA